AAGCAAGUUCAAAUAAAGCUUAUUACUACUACAGUGACCAUGAAGAUAGUUGGUUGCAAGUUAGCACUUUCUUUUUAUCAAAUAUGGUUAUGAAGACUGAAAAUGACACUUUAUUAGACUAAGUUGUUUUGGUACAAGAUAUCCCUCAUGAAAUUCAACUCAUUAUAUUUGCAACUUUUGGUCUCUUCUAUUGAUGCAAAAUUGAAAGACCCUAAACAAUUAGUAACCAUGUAUACAGUACUGUAGGUAAGAUAAUGUGAAAAGGUUCAUUAUUUGUUCAUUGUUUUAUAGUUCCUAUUGACUCAACUAAAGGAAUAAAGAUGUUAUACGUAUUUGUGGACAUAAAGCUGGAUGCCACACAUUUUGUCAACACAGUCAGACACAAUUUUGAAGCUGGAAAGUCACUUGCACUUUUGAGCACAAUCCAGUUUGUGACAACACUUCAAGCUGUAUAUCAAGACCUGUGUAAAGAUUAUCAGGUAGAGAUUCCGCAGUGUAAACCAUUGUCACCUGGAGAGAUUCUGGGCUGCACUGCUCCCAGAAUAAAAGACAAGGAUGCAUUCAUGUAAGAAAAUUAUUAAGAAAAACAAGGAAAUAAUCAUGUAAUUUAGUUCAUUGUGAAUUUAAGAAAACUGCACCAACUCUUUCAUAGUGAGUAUUCUUAAACAAAUUGAACAUUCUUUUGAAAAUCUUUCUUAUUAUUUGUAUUGGUAAAUCUAGUUGUAAGUACUGUAGUGGUUUAGUUUAAUUAAAAAUUUGCACCAUUACAUCUGAAGCUAUUUGCUUAUAAAUAAAACAAUGUUCCGAGC